rnacentral:rRNA from 1 species
AUUGAGCGCUGGCGGCAUGCUUUACACAUGCAAGUCGAACGGUAACAGGCCUUCGGGUGCUGCCGAGUGGCGCACGGGUGAGUAAUGCAUCGGAACGUGCCCAGAGGUGGGGGAUAACGCAGCGAAAGCUGUGCUAAUACCGCAUGUGAUCUGAGGAUGAAAGCGGGGGACCAAGCAGCAAUGUUUGGCCUCGCGCCUCUGGAGCGGCCGAUGUCAGAUUAGGUAGUUGGUGGGGUAAAGGCCUACCAAGCCGACGAUCUGUAGCUGGUCUGAGAGGACGACCAGCCACACUGGGACUGAGACACGGCCCAGACUCCUACGGGAGGCAGCAGUGGGGAAUUUUGGACAAUGGGCGCAAGCCUGAUCCAGCAAUGCCGCGUGCGGGAAGAAGGCCUUCGGGUUGUAAACCGCUUUUGUACGGAACGAAAAGGCUCUGGCUAAUACCUGGGGCUGAUGACGGUACCGUAAGAAUAAGCACCGGCUAACUACGUG